rnacentral:rRNA from 1 species
AGUCAAUAGAUACCCUGGUAGUCCACGCCCUAAACGAUGGAUACUAGGCGUAAGAGGUAUCGACCCCUCUUGUGCCGCAGCUAAACGCACUAAGUAUCCCGCCUGGGGAGUACGGCCGCAAGGUUGAAACUCAAAUGAAUUGACGGGGACCCGCACAAGCGGUGGAGCAUGUGGAUUAAUUCGAUACUAACCGAAGAACCUUACCCAGACUUGACAUCGAUCGCAAGCUCUAGAAAUAGGGCCCUCCCCACAAGGGGACGUGAAGACACUUGUUGCAUGGCUGUCGUCAGCUCGUGCCGUGAGGUGUACGGUUAAGUCCGCCAACGAGCGCAACCCUCGUCCUGUGUUACCAGCAUGAAAGAUGGGAACUCACAGGAGACCGCCGGUGUAAGCCGGAGGAAGGUGGGGAUGACGUCAAGUCAGCAUGGCAGUUACGUCUGGGG